rnacentral:rRNA from 1 species
CAGUAGCCGCGGGAAUACGUAGGUGGCGAGCGUUGUCCGGAAUCAUUGGGCGUAAAGGGAGCGCAGGCGGACAUAUAAGUCCAUCUUAAAAGUGCGGGGCUCAACCCCGUGAGGGGAUGGAAACUGUAUGCCUUGAGUGCAGGAGAGGAAAGCGGAAUUCCCAGUGUAGCGGUGAAAUGCGUAGAUAUUGGGAGGAACACCAGUGGCGAAGGCGGCUUUCUGGGCCGACACUGACGCUGAGAGACGAAAGCUAGGGGAGCAAAUGGGAUUAGAUACCCCCGUAGUCCCUGUCUCUUAUACA